rnacentral:rRNA from 1 species
GCUUCUCGGAGUGUAAAGUCCUUUUCCCUGCGAUGAGAGGGACAGUAGCAGGGGAAUAAGCCACGGCUAACUACGUGCCAGCAGCCGCGGUAAUACGUAGGUGGCGAGCGUUGUCCGGAAUUACUGGGUGUAAAGCGCGUGUAGGCGGGAGGCCAAGUCUGUGGUGAAAUCGCCUGGCUUAACUGGGCGGGGUCCAUGGAAACUGGUCACCUGGAGGUCGGUAGAGGCAAGUGGAAUUCCCGGUGUAGUGGUGAAAUGCGUAGAGAUCGGGAGGAACACCAGUGGCGAAGGCGGCUUGCUGGGCCGGACCUGACGCUGAGACGCGAAGGCGUGGGGAGCGAACGGGAUUAGAUACCCCGGUAGUCCACGCAGUAAACGAUGCACACUAGGUGUGGGGGGUAUCGAGCCCCUCCGUGCCGUAGUUAACACAGUAAGUGUGCCACCUGGGGAGUACGGCCGCAAGGUUAAAACUCAAAUG